rnacentral:rRNA from 1 species
UACGGGGGGAGCAAGCGUUGUUCGGAUUUACUGGGCGUAAAGGGCGCGUAGGCGGCCAGCACAAGUCAGUUGUGAAAUCUCCGAGCUUAACUCGGAAAGGUCAACUGAUACUGUGCGGCUAGAGUGCGGAAGGGGCAACUGGAAUUCUUGGUGUAGCGGUGAAAUGCGUAGAUAUCAAGAGGAACACCUGCGGCGAAGGCGGGUUGCUGGGCCGACACUGACGCUGAGGCUCGAAAGCUAGGGGAGCGAACGGG